rnacentral:lncRNA from 1 species
UGUAAUGAUGAUGAUGAUUGAGGAUUAGUAUGUGCUUGACCCUAUGUUUAUGGUUAUCCCCUUGACACAUGAUCUAUAGAAAUGUUUUUAUGAUGUAUUUGAUAGUCCAAGCUUAUCGAAUGAUGAAAUACCCCAUUGGAGCAUUUGAUGAGGACUCCAGUGGUGGUUAUGUUAUUAGAUGUGCGCAUGUUCAGGUUAAGCUUGGAAAAGGAAAGAAAAAGUUUACAGUUUUAUGUAUGUUGUUGAUCAUGUAUGGGAUAUUACAGGUUACAGGAGGUAUGUUUGGCUUGCUACGGGUCCCGGCGGCCUUAAGCCGAUCUGGAUCCUAGCGCCGGUAACGGGUCGGAUUUUCGGGUCGUUACA